rnacentral:rRNA from 1 species
AUUGAACGCUGGCGGCAUGCUUUACACAUGCAAGUCGGACGGCAGCACAGAGAAGCUUGCUUCUUGGGUGGCGAGUGGCGAACGGGUGAGUAACAUAUCGGAACGUACCGAGCAGUGGGGGAUAACUAAUCGAAAGAUUAGCUAAUACCGCAUAUUUUCUGAGGAAGAAAGCAGGGGACCAUUUGGCCUUGCGCUGUUUGAGCGGCCGAUAUCUGAUUAGCUAGUUGGUGGGGUAAAGGCCUACCAAGGCGACGAUCAGUAGCGGGUCUGAGAGGAUGAUCCGCCACACUGGGACUGAGACACGGCCCAGACUCCUACGGGAGGCAGCAGUGGGGAAUUUUGGACAAUGGGCGCAAGCCUGAUCCAGCCAUGCCGCGUGUCUGAAGAAGGCCUUCGGGUUGUAAAGGACUUUUGUCAGGGAAGAAAAGGAUAGGGUUAAUACCCCUGUCNGANGAC